AAAGUAUUUGAUUAAUGAUAAACUAAUUGAUUGCUCCUUUGCAAUUCAAAUGCAGUGGCCAACUUUGACUCUCCCUUUACUGUAGCCUAUACUUUUUUUUUUUUAAUUUUUUUUUUUUUUUUAAAGGUGCAAGGGGAAUGAUUUUAACUUUUUCUCUGUAAUGUGUGGAAGGCAUCAGUCAAAGCAGCACUACGAUGAAAUUCACCUGUGUGGUUGGGACCGGGUCCCACUAUGGCUUCUGCAUAUCAUGUCUGGAGAGAGUCUGAUGCCUCUGCUCCUCCAUCCUUUCUCAUCUGGGUGCUUGUGUGGGACCUUGGUGACAGCAGACAGAAUUGGAGGAAAAAAUGCAUUACUCUGAGACUAUUUAUUGUGAGCUCACAAUUCAUUUCUGAAGCUAAUGAAGAGUACUGAAGAUGAGGAGAAGGAAGCAGUAAUUCCAUAAAUUGCAAAGUGAACCAGGUUAUUAGAUCUGUGAGCAUCAAAACUGAUUAUAAGGAUUCAUUCUUUCUCUCUAAAGCAGUAAUGCAGUCUCCUUUUCUGUAGUACUGAGAGCAAGCAUGGUUAAAGCAAAGGAUUAAUUUUUUCUUUUUGAUACACAGAGUUUCUUCCAUUGUUCACUGGAAGUAAUUAAGUUUUAUUAAAAGUGUGAAGGAUUUUUUUUUUUUUUUUAAGAUCCAUUGGUAAAAAAACCAGCAAUCAGAAACCCCCCAAAAUCUUUACUGCAGUGUCUCAGAAAUUUGGCAAGGACCAGAUAUGGCUUGGGCUUGGAUAAUUAGAAAGGUAAAAUAUGUUUCUGAUACUCUGUUCUGAUCAUGAUUUGUUUUUUAUCAACCUUUUGGCAUGGUUGCACUAGUCCUAUAUAUUUUUUUUUUAAGACCACUUUUAAAAAGUGCUGUGUAUCAGCUUGCAUGUUAUUGACUGCCUUUUCUCUAGGCUAAAUUACA
rnacentral:lncRNA from 1 species